CCUACGGGAGGCAGCAGUGAGGAAUAUUGGUCAAUGGGCUUACGCCUGAACCAGCCAAGUCGCGUGAGGGAAGACUGCCCUAUGGGUUGUAAACCUCUUUUGUCAGGGAGCAACGCCGGCUACGUGAAGCCGUACUGAGAGUACCUGAAGUAAAAGCAUCGGCUAACUCCGUGCCAGCAGCCGCGGUAAUCCGGAGGAUGGGAGCGUUAUCCGGAUUUAUUGGGUUUAAAGGGUGCGUAGGCGGAAUGCCAAGUCAGCGGUAAAAUCGCGGGGCUCAACCUCGCUCCGCCGUUGAAACUGGCGUUCUUGAGUGGGCGAGAAGUAUGCGGAAUGCGUGGUGUAGCGGUGAAAUGCAUAGAUAUCACGCAGAACUCCGAUUGCGAAGGCAGCAUACCGGCGCCCAACUGACGCUGAAGCACGAAAGCGUGGGUAUCGAACAGGAUUAGAUACCCGAGUAGUC
rnacentral:rRNA from 1 species